AGAGUUUGAUCCUGGCUCAGAAUCAACGCUGGCGGCGUGCCUAACACAUGCAAGUCGAACGGGAAAACGGGGGCAACUCCGUGAGUAUAGUGGCGUACGGGUGAGUAACACGUGACUACCUACCUUUGAGUGGGGGAUAACCCCGGGAAACCGGAGCUAAUACCGCAUAACAUCGCAAGAUCAAAGGAGCAAUCCGCUUAAAGAGGGGGUCGCGGCUGAUUAGCUAGUUGGUAGGGUAAUGGCCUACCAAGGCGAUGAUCGGUAGCCGGCCUGAGAGGGCGCACGGCCACACUGGAACUGAAACACGGUCCAGACUCCUACGGGAGGCAGCAGUGGGGAAUUUUGCGCAAUGGGGGAAACCCUGACGCAGCAACGCCGCGUGGAGGAUGAAGUCCCUUGGGACGUAAACUCCUUUCGACCGGGACGAUUAUGACGGUACCGGUGGAAGAAGCCCCGGCUAACUUCGUGCCAGCCGCCGCGGUAAUAC
rnacentral:rRNA from 1 species